CUGCAGUCGAGCGACUGAUUAGAAGCUUGCUUCUAUGACGUUAGCGGCGGACGGGUGAGUAACACGUUGGGCAACCUGCCUGUAAGACUGGGAUAACUCCGGGAAACCGGAGCUAAUACCGGAUAACAUUUUUUCUUGCAUAAGAGAAAAAUUGAAAGAUGGUUUCGGCUAUCACUUACAGAUGGGCCCGCGGUGCAUUAGCUAGUUGGUGAGGUAACGGCUCACCAAGGCAAACGAUGCAUAGCCGACCUGAGAGGGUGAUCGGCCACACUGGGACUGAGACACGGCCCAGACUCCUACGGGAGGCAGCAGGGGGGAC
rnacentral:rRNA from 1 species